AACAUUAUGUAGAAACUAGAGAGUCAACAAAAAACGAUGUACGUGUUGUUUGAGUUUGUCGUCAAAAGCAGUUAAGCAUCUGAAUUAAGAAACUACAACCAUGCUUUGAGAGUGUAUAAUGAAAGAUGUUUGCAAGCAGAAUACAGGAAAUGGAUAGGCAUUAUGACCAA